rnacentral:lncRNA from 1 species
CUGAAACCCCGUCUCUACUGCAAAUACAAAAAUUAGCCAGGUGUGGUGGUGCGUGCCUGUAGUCUCAGCUACUCAGGAGGCUGAGACAGGAUAAUCACUUGAACUCAGGAAGCGGAGUUUGCAGUGAGCCGAGAUCGAGCCACUGCACUCCAGCCUGAGUGACAGAGCAAGACUGCGUCUCAAAUAAAUAAAUAAACAAAUAAAAUAGAUCUUUCCUUUUUUUGAUGCUGCUCAUAUUGAUAUCAGGAUCCACUAAUACGUUGUUUCUACAACAAUGGAACCUGAAGCCUGGGUCUAGCAUUGUUUUGCCUGAAAUGACACAGUAUAGUAAUUAAAGGUUCAAAAGUAAAUAGGAAAGACAGAGAAGGAGAAAAAGAGAAAUUUAAAAACUUAAUUACUGACGGCUACUCAGUGGAAAUAUUACCACCUUUAUGCAUUUUUAAUUCUUGAAGAGAUGCCAUUUAUAAAUGCUGCUUAUUUUUUCCUACAGGCUGAUCGAAGAUGAUGAAAUGCCACAUUCGCUUCAGUAAACAGACAUCUCAAAGUCCAAAGGAAACAAACUCAAAGUCAUGACAUGCAAAAAACAUUACUUGAUGCCCAGCAUGAAGCUCACUCACAGACACCCUGAAAAUAGUCACUGAUCGCACUGGAGCAAAAAAACAGCUUUCAGCCUGAGGAAGAUCACAUUGAGAGAAGUUGAAAGCAUUUUGAAGAAAAACUCAGAUUGGACACAGAUUAGUCAAGUUGGUCUGAAAGUAUCCCCUUGUCUUAGUCUGUUCCUGCUGCUGUAACAAAAUACCACAGACUGGGUAAUUCGUAAAGAACAGAAACUUACUCUCAUAGUCCUGGAGGCUGGGAAGUUCGAGAUCAAGGUGCCAACAUAUUCAGUGUCUGCUGAAGGUCCAGUCUCCACUUCCACAAUGGCGCCUUGUUGCUGCAUCCUCCAGAGUGGACAAACACUGUGUCCUCACAUAACGGAAUGGAUAGGAGGCAAAAGGGCCUAAGCUAGUACCUUCCACCCCUUUUAUAAGGCAUGAAUCUAUAUCUUGAUGGGGAAGCCCUCAUGACUUUAUCACAUCUCACAUCCAAAAACCCUGAGUCUUAAUACAACCAUAAUCUGAAUUAUGUUUCAAGAUGAAUUUUGGAAGGGUAACAUUCAAACCAUAGCACUUCCCAGAAGAUAACUUCUUUAAACAAACAUACAAAGCACACAGCAUCUCUCAGCGUGAACAACACGUGUUAUGAUGAAAGGGUGUUUCUUUCUUUCUUUCUUUUUCUUUCUUUCUUUCUUUCUUUCUUUCUUUCUCUCUCUCUCUCUUCUUUUCUUCUUUCCUUCCUUCCUUCCUUCCUUCCUUCCUUCCUUCCUUCCUUCCUUCCUUCCUUCUUUCUUUCUUUCUUUCUUUCAGACAGGGCCUCCCUCUGUCAUCCAGGCUAGAGUGCAGUGGCAUGAUCAUGGAUCACUGCAACCUCCACCUCCCAGGCUCAAGCAAUCCUCCCGCCCCAGCCUCCCAAGUAGCUGGGACCACAGGCAUGCACCACUGUGGCUGGCUACCUUUUUUUUUUUUUUUUUUGUAGAGACAGGAUCUCGCUAUGUUGCCCAGGAUGGUCUUGAACCCCUGGGCUCAAGUGAUCCCCCCACCUCAGCCUCCCAAAAUGCUGGGAUUACAGGCACUGCACCUGGCCAAAAGGGUGUAUUUUCUAAAAAGAAUUUUUGAAGGUGUUUCUUCCAUCUCUGCUUCUGUCUCACCUGCUGGCCCUUGGAUUGGGGAUCUACGUCAGGGAAAGCGUCUGACGACAUCAAUCAGUACCUUCAGAUGAAGAAUUGAAAUCUGACUUGGUUCACACAGUGGAGGCUAUCUACUGAAAACUGCACCUAACUCUGCUUUUUAUUAUUUUUUAAGCAGAAACUAGGAAACCAAGGUACAACUCCACAGUCGAAUUUAUGCACUAAAAUGUGUUUGCUGAUUUGUGUGCUCUUAGAAUCAGCUUUCUUUUACGCAAGGCUGUGUCUGUCAAGAGACUGGAAAUAGAAAAAAAUAAAUCUUUGCUAAAUUCUUCAGAGAUUACAAUAUUUGCAUAUAGUUUAAAACAAAACCUUAUAAAAGGCUUUUUGAUUAAACCAGAAAAAAAAAGUUGUUUACUUAAAAAUAAACACUUGCACUUCCCCAGUGUUACUAGGCCCCUUGCAGGCUUGGUUUGAGUGGCUAGAGCUGGAGCCAGUUGCAGCAGUAAAAGUGACCCAUAUUUUUUGACUUUUCUUUUUUUUUUUUUGAGACGGAGUCUCGCUCUGUCGC